rnacentral:lncRNA from 1 species
UAUCUCAAUGCCAAGUUCACCAAACAGCCUUUUCCAUAUUUACACUCACUCUGAGGUAGGUGCUAUGUUAAGUGCUGAGACAUAGAUGAGUGAAGAAGGAAAAAACUCUGUCCUCACACCUGGUGGACAAGGCAGGCAUCCCCUCUGCUCCCUGGAGUGGAGGGGCUGAAGGAUGCUUUCCACUGGGCCUGGGAAAAUAUAAACACAUCUGGAAGGAGGUCGCUGCUGAGCAAACCAUGCUCCCCCCUGAGUACAGACAGGAUGAGGUGUCUAUAAAUAAUGUGAAGAGUGUGAAGAGAUUCUCUCCCCUGGGCUCCCUUUGCAAAAGGUUGAAGACCACUGGACCAGAAGUCAGAAGUGUGGAUACCGACCCCCCAACUAGGCCAUCUGUUGGCAAUCGAUGUCCGAGUCCAGUUUCACAACUGUAAAAUGAAGGCUAGUCUUCUGUUACAUGCCAGGCACAAAAGGUUUUUGGAAAGAAUAAAUUAAGUAAUGGAGCUAAAUGACCUGUAUUG